rnacentral:lncRNA from 1 species
CUUCAGCCUUCUCGUUUGUAGUAGUCCUCAUAGCUCAUCGACUCCCAUCUACUUGAUCCGCCAAGAUGAUAAACUCAAUCACAAUAAUGAACUGGAGAAUUAAAAAAAUCCGGCAACAUGUGAGUUACAUAAGUAAUCUUCAAGAUCUCAAUGUUCUAUCUAUAUUGUUAAAAUGAGAAGAAGAUUACCCUGCACCAACACGAGCGAGUUCACCUGCAAAACAUAGCCAACCCGAGCUUCUUAAAUAAAAGAAAUAUGAAAGAGAUAUUUCAACUCUGCUCUCUCUCACAACGUUACAUAUAUACCGUAUAGUUGAAUAUAGUCCGAGGGAAUGAAGAAGGGAAUAACUGAAACAUCAAUUACUUAGCAUAAUUCUAUUCAUAACUUUCUCAAGUAAGAAACAUGAAUCUCAACUUUGAAAAAUCAUUAUCUCAACUUUGAAAAAUCAUAUAAAAUCAACAUUUUCAAAGAAAAAUGCAAGCUUUACCUUUUAAGAAAGCUAUUAAAGUCUAUCUUUAUUAGAAAGUUACAAAAAUACAAUAUCUUCUCAAGUGUAUAAGAAAUUAUCUCACAAAAUAGCAGAAUCUGCCACAGAACCUUGCUGCUUCGCGCAGUACUUUUAAGCGUAUUGUUGAAUAUCUUCCGGUGUAAUUUAGCUGGGAAUAACUGAAACAUCAAUUACUUAGCAUAAUUCUAUUCAUAACUUUCAAGUUAUUUGGACAAUAGGAACACUCUCGAAAAUCCCUCACAAGACAUUGGUUCGUCCAGCCAAACUUGACAGCAAUACAGUUUCUGUUGAAACUCAACAUAUAACUCAUAUUUUGGCCAAAUAAAAGCUAUAAGAUCUCAAAUACAUCAUCUUACUACACAUUAGCAUGCUUUAGCUUGAAAUUUAAAUCAUAUUUAACUCAUCAACACCAAGAAAGCAAGUUAUAACACAACCAAUCACCACAAGUUCUCCACUCAAUACUAAAAGUCGUUCAUCCCUUAUUCAUAAAUCAAAAUUGGCUCAACACAUAGUAACAUGCUCAAUAUCCCCCAAUUUCUAUCAUAUAAUCACAUUCCACGCUCCCAAGAGUUCAAUUACAUAAGCAUCAAACAUUUAGCUAUCUUACCUCAAGAAUGCCCAAAUUCACUUAUUCAAAACUAUUAGGAAAUCAUGAUUUCCUGUCCAGUCCAGCAAUCCGGUUUAGCACCUAUACCAUCCAGUGAAAUGAAAAUUACACCCCAAGAAAACAAAAUACAAAAAACAGAAAAAUGCAGUUCUAAUUCAGAGAUGCCCAUAAGAGAUUAUGAUAAUAUGAGAUCAUUUUCUACAUAUGACUCUAAAGUUGUAACUUAGCAGAUUUGAUUACACUAAGAUGUCUUUCACCAUAAAAAACAAAAUUUUCUUCGAUCAUUGAGUAGAAAUGUUGCAGUCCUAAAAUGAUCAACUAUAGAGAAUUUAGAGAUGUCAAAGAAAUUGAUGAGGAGCGUGUAAGGAUACGAAGCAUCCUAAAUUGACACGAAGCACUCCCAUUGUAUGGUAACAUUCUCUAUCCUGCGCCCCGCAAGCUCUUGAGUCUACAAUUCGAAUAUUUAGAAAAUAACUUAACAGAAAGAAGAAUAUUAUUAUCAAUUUAAAAGAGACCAAAAUAACAGAUUAAUGAAAAAGACUAUUACCUCAAGAAUCCAGAAGCACCUGGGAGGCAUCUACAACAAGUAAGAGCUCCUUCACAGGCAGCAAAAGAGUGAGAAACCUGAAAAUAUUCAGAAAUCAUGAUACAAUACCAUAUAAACACAUGCUGCCAGUUGAAUUAAGGAACUUGACUACACUACCCGCAAAUUAAAAGGUCAUUUGUGAUCUCCAUGAAAAUAAAAGGAUGUGAGUGCUCUUCCAAGAACCAAUAAGUAGCUCAGUAACUACUCAAAGGCUUUUUUAUUUCUACAAAAGAGUAAAAUACAAGGACCACUUCCUCUCCUCCGAGGUCCACCGAACC